UACGUAGGGUGCGAGCGUUGUCCGGAAUUAUUGGGCGUAAAGAGCUCGUAGGCGGUGUGUCACGUCGGCCGUGAAAACCUGCAGCUUAACUGUGGGCGUGCGGUCGAUACGGGCAUCACUGGAGUUCGGCAGGGGAGACUGGAAUUCCUGGUGUAGCGGUGAAAUGCGCAGAUAUCAGGAGGAACACCGGUGGCGAAGGCGGGUCUCUGGGCCGAUACUGCCGCUGAGGAGCGAAAGCGUGGGGAGCAAACAGG
rnacentral:rRNA from 1 species